UACGUAGGGUGCAGGCGUAAUCGGAAUUACUGGGCGUAAAGGGCUCGUAGGCGGCCAACUAAGUCAUACGUGAAAUCCCUCGGCUUAACCGGGGAACUGCGUCUGAUACUGGAUGGCUUGAGUUCGGGAGAGGGAUGCGGAAUUCCAGGUGUAGCGGUGAAAUGCGUAGAUAUCUGGAGGAACACCGGUGGCGAAGGCGGCAUCCUGGACCGAUACUGACGCUGAGGAGCGAAAGCCAGGGGAGCAAACGGG
rnacentral:rRNA from 1 species